ACGUAGGUGGCGAGCGUUGUCCGGAAUUAUUGGGCGUAAAGCGCGCGCAGGCGGUUAUGUAAGUCUCAUUUAAAAGUGCUGAGCUUAACUCAGUGAUGGGUGAGAAACUGCAUGACUUGAGUGCAGAAGGAGUAGGCGGAAUUCCUAGUGUAGCGGUGAAAUGCGUAGAUAUUAGGAGGAACACCAGUGGCGAAGGCGGCCUACUGGACUGCAACUGACGCUGAGGCGCGAAAGCUAGGGGAGCAAACGG
rnacentral:rRNA from 1 species